UAAAUUUGUGCACACAACAAACAUCUUCUUUGAUAAUAACAACACCUGUAACAAUCAGAAUGUCAUUCUGACAUCUGCUUCAACAUCAACACAUGUGCACCACAUCAGACAUCCCCUUUGACAUUUGUAAACAGAACAACGCAUCUCCUUCAAUAAUUGUUGUCCAUCUGUUCAGCUACAUACAUCUCCUCACAGCUCCACAACUCACAACUUUAACUGCUUCCACAUCAACACUUCUCCCCCUUUUUAGUCAAAAUUGACCAAAGGUGACCAAUUAGACCAAAUAAAUGUCAAUUAGCCUAGCAGAGAAUGUCACCAUAGAUGUCAUAACAUAUAACAUGUUAAAACAUAAUUGUUUAGGAGAUACAUACCAACAUUAUACACAGCUGAGAUAAUGAACAAAUCCAUGGAACUCAUUAAGAGCCCAAAAUAUUACAAACAUGCAUCAAUGAGGACUGCCACAAAUUACACAUAUUUAAAAAAACCAAUAAAUUCUUCAGCAUCCAAACAGCAGGGGGGAACAGCUUCCAUAACAUCAGCCACAACAGCCACACCAAGAACAGUCU
rnacentral:lncRNA from 1 species